UUCUCCUUCUCUCUCUUUUUCUCCUUUCUCUCUCUUUUCUUUUUGUCAAAACUCUAUUAUUAUGUGUUUAGUGACAAAGGGGGAACAUUAUUAUUUCUUAAGUUCACCCCAAUUGGUCCUCUCCAUCUAGGAGGGACCCAACACGUGGAAGUGGGGAAAACUGGACAAUGGCCAAGACAGUCAGCGCGACAGAAUAUUUAAACUACGAAGGCGGAAACUUUUCCAAGAGUGAAGGCGUUGGAGUGUUUGGUAAUGAUGUCAGAUUUACAAAUAUCCCUGUUGAAGUAUGGCGAUACUACCUGCUGGCCAGAAGGCCUGAGUAACUUUGAUUGCUGCUACAAAAUGAGAAUUUUUUUUUUUUCUUUCUUGUGUUUCAUCAUACACUGAUCGGUUCUGGUGGGGAUUGGCAAUCCAGGUGUCUGACGCAUCAUUUAAGUGGAAGGAUCUUCAAGGAAAACUGAAUAGCAAGUUGUUGGGCCUAGGCAACUUUGUAAAUCGAGUUUUGCUUCUUAUUGCAGGUUAUGGGUCUGUCAUUCCUGAUGCUCCUCGUGCUAAAUCUCAUAUUCUAACAAAAUGCGUGGGUGACAAGGUUGGAAGAUUGGUGGCUGAGUAUGUCAAAGCCAUGGAAAAGGUUCAGCUCAAGCAUGGCCUGAAUACUGCUAUGCUCGUUGUGGGUCAAGGGCACAAAUAUUGGAGACUUUACAAGGGAGAUAAAAGUCGUAGUGCAGUUUUUUCAAGAACGGCUGCUGGUUUAGUACACCUUGUUGUACGAUUGUUA